UUGGUGAAUCUGACCGGCGCAUUGCCAAGCUACAAAGUAAUUCAUUACACUAACGACACCAUGAUACUGGCUAAUAAGUUCGCAACAAUUGGGGAACAAGCAUUAUGUUCAUUGUGGGUGACGAAUAAAUAUUUUAGAAAAGAAGAAACAGCUUUACCGGUGACAACACGCGUAUAUUGGGACUCGAACUGCAAAAAUACGACUUUUGUUCCAUAUCCUACUUAUUGCUUCGCGUGAUAUGAUGAAAAAUAAAACUCUUUUGUUUGAAA
rnacentral:lncRNA from 1 species